rnacentral:lncRNA from 1 species
AAAUUAUCGGUAGGGUAAACUAGAUCAAUUAAAUUGAUAGGCAUUAUUUUAUUGAGUUUUAGAUUUGAGGAAAUUUUGCCUAAACGCAUAAUCUGAACGUUCUGAGAUAAAAUGUGGUGUAAGAAAAUAUAUUAUCAUCAAUGAUAUUGAUGCGGACACAUAAAGAGUUUUAUGUAGAGAUCAGGUUUAUCACCGUCACUUGUUUUGACUCUUUGAUCUUGUAGUAGUCGAAUAUUACUAAGUUAGAUUGCCAGAUCGAAGUUGAAUCAUCUUUUGAAAUCAAAGAUCUAUAAACAUUUCGUCCUUGGAAUCUAAAUUGCUUAGGAUUUCUUUCACAAUAUGUCAAUUUUUACUUUUCAGUUACUGAGAAGUGGCAAUUCGUUAAUGAGAUAGGCAGGUUUGGAACAAUAUUGACCAUUUGAAGGUUCAGAGGUGAGAAUAAAUUGGAUGUUCAGUGGUGGAGCCACUAAGGGCUGAGUGGGUGAAAUUGCCCCCAUUGGGUAUUGAAGAAAAUAUUGAUUAGUGGCUUAAUUUGGUCAACGGUGGUAGUUAUAAUGACCAAACCUUUGUGCCCAAGCAUUAUAUCAUACGUAUUGACCGCUUUGAUAGAUCAUCUACCUUAAGGGAAACUUAAGUUGAAUAUUGGUACCAAUUGAGCACUUGUGUACAGAGACUUGGUCGUUAUAUUAGAAAUAUGGAGUAGGUGGACUGGUAUGUAUUUUUUUGUGUGAGUGUGCUUCUCAUCCCACUUUUAUUAAUUUUUGAAUAAUGAUAGUAUAUGGAGUUCAUUUAUAAAUAAAAGUAAGUUUCUGGGGAAAAAGACUGAAAUUUGGAGCUAUUUUUUAUUUUCUUUCAAAACUUGCUACCAAAAAUGUUUUAAGUUCUCUAUUUUUACCUCUCCACUUAAUCAACAACAAUGUUUCUCCAUUUUAUUGAGCUUUGUCUCACUAUAUUUGUAAAUACAGCAGUAAUGUUUUCUCAUAUUUGAGAAAAUUUCUCCUGGACAGAGACUAUGCUGCUCUUCUUAUAGGAGCAACCAAACUACCAUCUGACAAUUGUAGAAUAUUCCUCUACUCUGUUACAUUCCUGGCUCCCCCCGGUGGAUAUGGGUUGUGUAGUAUUCUUGCUUUUGGAGACAAGUAUUAUCUGUUUUUUCACAUGUAGACAAGGUUAUAUAUGUAUAUUAGUCUCAAGAGAACAUUGGUAUUAGCCAUCAUGCUUCCAACCAAAUCUUUGGGAGCUAUUGUACAAGUAGGUUACUAUUCCUACUGCUCCAGUGGUAAUGUCCAUGUUACCAGGACAUGAUUCUGCAUGGUCUUGCAAUACUAAAUUACUUAUAAAUAUGGCGAAGUAUGUAUCUUGUCUCUUGCAAGAGUUGUCUAUUUUCAUGUUUGUAAUGCUCCCAUCUUUUGUAUUUCAUCUUACUGACUGACUUUCUGUGUACAUGUUCUGUUCUGAUAGGAUUUAGCAUAUCAGGAUAUGGUCAUCCAGAAAAAGUAUCAAAUGUCAAAGUCAUACUUAAUGGUGGCCAGAGAGUUACCUUUUUAAGGCCUGAUGGAUAUUUUUCUUUGUAUCCUACCAUCUUUGUCACUAUGCACUGAUUUACUUUUGGGUAGGGAUGGCGAUGGGCCGAGCCAGCGCCAUUUGGGUGUUGGUCUGUGGUUCUGUUGCAUAUCUUGAUAUCGAGUGUUAUGUUUUGCUAUUUUCCUACUUUUUACUGCAUCACAUUAUUGCAAGCUUGUGAAUGGAGACCUGAACUGGUACUGUGUUAUGCGUGGAACUAGUAUUCUUAUUGUUAUAAUUCUGAAAGCACACUUGGUGAUGCAAUAUUAUAGAGAUAAAUUAUUUAUUUAGUUUCCUAUUUUGAUUCGUAUUUCAGGAAACAUGAUUAGAAUGUGAUUUAAUUAACUUUUAUGGCAUUUCUUUACUUAUUUAUGAUUUUUGAAACCCUAUAUAAAGGGGAUUAUGGAGAUGUAAUAGAACAACUUGAUUGUAUGAAAUAAACUAUUUCUUCCCCAAUUUCUCUAUCCUCUCCUCCUCCUUCUCUCUUUUCUCCCCUAUUCCCUUCUCCUACAAAUGUUCCAUUACAUCCAGCGUCCCUUGGAUUUGAAUUAUGAAAUUUAGCGUAGUUCUUUAACCAUUAUGCCUCAAGCCAUAAUGUGCCAGCAGGGACUCAUCUUAUUGAAGUAGCUGCAAUUGGCUAUUUCUUUUCUCCGGUGAGCAUCUCCCAUUUCCCGUAUUAUUCUUGUUAUUGAACUAAUUUAGUAAUCAAUCAAACAUUACAUAUAUAAUCCCGGUCUCUUCUAUCGGCUGCCAGGUACGCAUAGAUGUCAGUGCUAGAAACCCUGGUAAAGUUCAGGCAGCUUUGACAGAGAACAGGAGAGUAUUGAGUGAGCUUGUUUUGGAGCCUUUGAGGGAGGAACAGUAUUACGAGGUUAGAUUACCCUUUAUCGUGAUUGAUACCUCCUGUUCUUUGUAUAGGUCAUUAGUGAUUCUCAAAAUUACGUCUGCUUUUUUUUUCUUUUCUUUUUCAAUUUCCAAUUUACUCUUUUGCAGAUAAGAGAACCAUUCUCCGUAAUGUCUAUCGUGAAGAGCCCAAUGGGUCUGAUGGUCGGAUUUAUGGCUAUUGUGGUGUUUUUAAUGCCCAAACUAGUUGGUAAGAGUUACAGCACUGAAGCCUUGGACUCAUCCAUCUCGCUUUUGAUUGAUUUGGAUUAUCUUUGGCAUUUCUAAAUCCGAGCCCAGUUGAACUGAUAUGUUAAUAUGGUCCCAUUAUAAUGCGCUUCUGGUUUUCUUAUGUGACAUAGAUGCUGAAGAAAUGAAACGAGCUCAAGAGGAAAUGAGAAACCAAGGUGUUGCUGUUCCCUCUCUCACAAACUUUUUGGCUGGAGCAACACAGAGGCCUAGUUAGAAAUUAGAUAUCGGUUUGUACCCAGAACUCGGAAAAUACAUUUUGUCCUGGAACUGUUUAACAGGGCCCUUUUACUAAAACUCUUAAGCAUAGGUUCUUAUUUUGAUUAUCAAUGAGCUCUCUUCAACUCAUACUAUCUGUUGUAUUGUUGAAUUCCUCCUGGUGGUGGAAGUGCGAUUUCAAUUCCAUUAGGAUGGAUAAUAUUUGAAUUUCAUUUUCAGUAAAAUCUCAAUUAACUGCCUGUUUGGGAGUAUUUUUUUAUUCAAAAAAUUGAUUUUUUGACUGUUAUUUAA